UCUCACAAAAUGGCAUAGCUACAUCAAAAACCCCCAAAAUUCUCAUAAUAGCAUACCACAAAAUCACAUAAUCACAAGUACAUAACUUUCAAUCCCAAUGACAAAACGGUAGCACAACAUCAUAUUUCGGUCUUACUUUCUUACAAAACGAGAUAGCACAACAUCAAAUAAGCCAAGUACAUCUGUGGGAGAUAAGUCCAUCACAUUCAAAUUUAUUUAAAUAUAAGGUAGACUUCUAGGCAUCAUCUUUCGUUCUUCAGCUCUUGGUAGACUAUGCUCCAGUCAUGAUAGAUUCAGACUCAUCCUUGAAGUGAACAGAUCAAAAGCACAAUAUUUAAAUUCAUGGAAAUAAAAGGAUGAGACAUUGCAGUAUGUACAUUGACUAUAAGGAGUGAGAUAUGUUACCACUGCACUGACCAAAAAAAUUCUUCAAUUUCGGUUCAUUUGAACCAAUGUACAGGAACUAGCAACUAAUUGACCAUAGUUUGACCAAACAUGCAAUAGUAUAAUGCUAACUGGACAAAUUAUAUAUAUCAAAUAAUUUAUGAAAUUCAAAUAUACCAAUAAUGGAUUCCAUGAAAUAUUUUGCACAAAGCCACAAACAAUCAUAUAUUUUAGUUUUUAUUAUCAUAACAUCGAACAUGUAUAACGCAUCAACUCUUGCACAAAUAGACAUAGUCAACUGGGGAUCUGCACAGGCUCAUAGAGGAACAACAAAGAGAGAGAAACAACAAAGAGCUGCACUGCUGACCUACUGCUGCAAACGUGUGCUCCGCAAAUCCCAGGAAACUUUGAACAAAAGAAUUUCCAUGUACAAGAACACUAUAGUACUAGACAUACAUGAGAAGCAGGAAGAAGAAGAUUACCCGAACGCCGCAUGUUUGACAUGGCCGUCGUCUCGUUGGUGCGGUCCCGCUCCUCGCC
rnacentral:lncRNA from 1 species